rnacentral:misc_RNA from 2 species
AAGUCGUAACAAGGUCUCCGUAGGUGAACCUGCGGAGGGAUCAUUACAAGUGACCCCCGGCUCCGGCCGGGGAUGUUCAUAACCCUUUGUUGUCCGACUCUGUUGCCUCCGGGGCGACCCUGCCUUUUCACGGGCGGGGGCCCCGGGUGGACACAUCAAAACUCUUGCGUAACUUUGCAGUCUGAGUAAAUUUAAUUAAUAAAUUAAAACUUUCAACAACGGAUCUCUUGGUUCUG